GGUUGUCUUGUGCUCAGAACACACUGUCAAUGGAAAAGGAAAUUAAGGAGAAGCAAAUGGCUAGAGAAAGACCCAGGCUAGCCCAAAAGGUCUCUUUAAUCAUAAACCUGAACGGCAUGACGGAGUAGUCCUGGUUUGAGGAGCCAUGGUGCGGCGCUCAGCGGAGAGAAGGAGGGAAAGGGGACAAAAGUGCUUUCGUGCUAUCGCGGACAGGAGGGAACCCUGUCAGCAGGAACCAAAGACCGGGCUAACGGCUAACGGAGCAAUGUUCCUCAGGACCUGUUACUCCGGCAAACGCACCCAGUCAAGCUCGCAGGAAGAGAGAUGGGGGCAAGGACUUAGAUACAAGCAGGAAAAUCAGUCGCCUGGCUGGUGCAGAAACAUCAAACGAACUCCUUGCCUUAAACUUUGCAUAACUGAUUGUGCCCGCUACGGUGCCUCAGAUGGACCCCACUUACAGCCUGAUACAACACUAAGAAAAUUUUCUGGAAGCCCCCGGCUCAAUUCUGGAACAGCACAAGACCUAAAAACAGGUACCACAAGAUCAGAGAGACAUUAACGUGACAUCACUUCUUUCUUCUACGAUAAUAAAAUUAAAAACCGCC